rnacentral:rRNA from 1 species
CUUUUACAAUGAAGAGUUUGAUCCUGGCUCAGGAUGAACGCUAGCUACAGGCUUAACACAUGCAAGUCGAGGGGCAUCAGGAAGAAAGCUUGCUUUCUUUGCUGGCGACCGGCGCACGGGUGAGUAACACGUAUCCAACCUGCCCUUUACUCGGGGAUAGCCUUUCGAAAGAAAGAUUAAUACCCGAUAGCAUAAUGAUUCCGCAUGGUUUCAUUAUUAAAGGAUUCCGGUAAAGGAUGGGGAUGCGUUCCAUUAGGUUGUUGGUGAGGUAACGGCCCACCAAGCCUUCGAUGGAUAGGGGUUCUGAGAGGAAGGUCCCCCACAUUGGAACUGAGACACGGUCCAAACUCCUACGGGAGGCAGCAGUGAGGAAUAUUGGUCAAUGGGCGCUAGCCUGAACCAGCCAAGUAGCGUGAAGGAUGAAGGCUCUAUGGGUCGUAAACUUCUUUUAUAUAAGAAUAAAGUGCAGUAUGUAUACUGUUUUGUAUGUAUUAUAUGAAUAAGGAUCGGCUAACUCCGUGCCAGCAGCCGCGGUAAUACGGAGGAUCCGAGCGUUAUCCGGAUUUAUUGGGUUUAAAGGGAGCGUAGGUGGACUGGUAAGUCAGUUGUGAAAGUUUGCGGCUCAACCGUAAAAUUGCAGUUGAUACUGUCAGUCUUGAGUACAGUAGAGGUGGGCGGAAUUCGUGGUGUAGCGGUGAAAUGCUUAGAUAUCACGAAGAACUCCGAUUGCGAAGGCAGCUCACUGGACUGCAACUGACACUGAUGCUCGAAAGUGUGGGUAUCAAACAGGAUUAGAUACCCUGGUAGUCCACACAGUAAACGAUGAAUACUCGCUGUUUGCGAUAUACAGUAAGCGGCCAAGCGAAAGCAUUAAGUAUUCCACCUGGGGAGUACGCCGGCAACGGUGAAACUCAAAGGAAUUGACGGGGGCCCGCACAAGCGGAGGAACAUGUGGUUUAAUUCGAUGAUACGCGAGGAACCUUACCCGGGCUUAAAUUGCAGUGGAAUGAUGUGGAAACAUGUCAGUGAGCAAUCACCGCUGUGAAGGUGCUGCAUGGUUGUCGUCAGCUCGUGCCGUGAGGUGUCGGCUUAAGUGCCAUAACGAGCGCAACCCUUAUCUUUAGUUACUAACAGGUCAUGCUGAGGACUCUAGAGAGACUGCCGUCGUAAGAUGUGAGGAAGGUGGGGAUGACGUCAAAUCAGCACGGCCCUUACGUCCGGGGCUACACACGUGUUACAAUGGGGGGUACAGAAGGCAGCUAGCGGGUGACCGUAUGCUAAUCCCAAAAGCCUCUCUCAGUUCGGAUCGAAGUCUGCAACCCGACUUCGUGAAGCUGGAUUCGCUAGUAAUCGCGCAUCAGCCACGGCGCGGUGAAUACGUUCCCGGGCCUUGUACACACCGCCCGUCAAGCCAUGGGAGCCGGGGGUACCUGAAGUACGUAACCGCAAGGAUCGUCCUAGGGUAAAACUGGUGACUGGGGCUAAGUCGUAACAAGGUAGCCGUACCGGAAGGUGCGGCUGGAACACCUCCUUUCUGGAG